UACGUAGGGGCCGAGCGUUGUCCGGAAUUACUGGGCGUAAAGCGCGCGCAGGCGGCUCGUCAAGCCUGACGUGAAAGCCCCCGGCUCAACCGGGGAGGGUCGUCGGGGACUGGCGAGCUUGAGGUCGGCAGGGGCUGGUGGAAUUCCCGGUGUAGUGGUGAAAUGCGUAGAGAUCGGGAGGAACACCCGUGGCGAAGGCGGCCAGCUGGGCCGGACCUGACGCUGAGGCGCGAAGGCGUGGGGAGCGAACGGG
rnacentral:rRNA from 1 species